AUUGAACGCUGGCGGCAGGCCUAACACAUGCAAGUCGAACGAGUGGCGGACGGGUGAGUAAUGUCUGGGAAACUGGCUGAUGGAGGGGGAUAACUACUGGAAACGGUAGCUAAUACCGCAUACCAUCGGAUGUGCCCAGAGGGGAUUAGCUAGUAGGUGAGGUAAAGGCUCACCUAGGCGACGAUCCCUAGCGGGUCGGAGAGGAUGACAAGCCACACUGGAACUGAGACACGGUCCAGACUCCUACGGGAGGCAGCAGUGGGGAAUAUUGCGCAAUGGGCGAAAGCCUGAUGCAGCCAUGCCGCGUGUAUGAAGAAGGCCUUCGGGUUGUAAAGUACUUUCGUCGGGGAGGCGUUACCCGCAGAAGAAGCAACGGCUAACUCCGUGCCAGCAGCCGCGGUAAUUC
rnacentral:rRNA from 1 species